rnacentral:rRNA from 1 species
GAUCAUGGCUCAGGAUGAACGACUGCGGCAGGCUAAUACAUGCAAGUCGAACGGUAAGGCCGAGUGCAGCAAUGCACGAGGUACACGAGUGGCGCACGGGUGCGUAACGCGUAUGCAACCUGCCCCCAACCGGGACAAAACAGCUGGAAACGGCUGCUAAUAUCCCAUGGUCACUUAAAACGGCAUCGUUAUGGGUGUAAAGAUUUAUUGGUUGGGGAUGGGCAUGCGUAUUAUUAGGUAGUUGGCGGGGUAACGGCCCACCAAGCCGACGAUGAUUUGGGGUUCUGAGAGGAAAGACCCCCACACUGGAACUGAGACACGGUCCAGACUCCUACGGGAGGCAGCAGUAGGGAAUAUUGGGCAAUGGAGGCAACUCUGACCCAGCCAAUGCCGCGUGAAGGAAUAAGGCCCUAUGGGUCGUAAACUUCUUUUACCGCAGAGUAAACCCGGGGACGCGUCCCCGGUUGAGAGUAUGCGGGGAAUAAGUAUCGGCUAACUCCGUGCCAGCCGCAGC